rnacentral:rRNA from 1 species
AGACCCGAAACCCGGUGAUCUAGCCAUGGGCAGGUUGAAGGUUGGGUAACACUAACUGGAGGACCGAACCGACUAAUGUUGAAAAAUUAGCGGAUGACCUGUGGCUGGGGGUGAAAGGCCAAUCAAACCGGGAGAUAGCUGGUUCUCCCCGAAAGCUAUUUAGGUAGCGCCUCGUGAAUUCAUCUCCGGGGGUAGAGCACUGUUUCGGCUAGGGGGCCAUCCCGGCUUACCAACCCGAUGCAAACUGCGAAUACCGGAGAAUGUUAUCACGGGAGACACACGGCGGGUGCUAACGUCCGUCGUGAAGAGGGAAACAACCCAGACCGCCAGCUAAGGUCCCAAAGUCAUGGUUAAGUGGGAAACGAUGUGGGAAGGCCCAGACAGCCAGGAUGUUGGCUUAGAAGCAGCCAUCAUUUAAAGAAAGCGUAAUAGCUCACUGGUCGAGUCGGCCUGCGCGGAAGAUGUAACGGGGCUAAACCAUGCACCGAAGCUGCGGCAGCGACACUAUGUGUUGUUGGGUAGGGGAGCGUUCUGUAAGCCUGUGAAGGUGUGUCGUGAGGCAUGCUGGAGGUAUCAGAAGUGCGAAUGCUGACAUAAGUAACGAUAAAGCGGGUGAAAAGCCCGCUCGCCGGAAGACCAAGGGUUCCUGUCCAACGUUAAUCGGGGCAGGGUGAGUCGACCCCUAAGGCGAGGCCGAAAGGCGUAGUCGAUGGGAAACGGGUUAAUAUUCCCGUACUUGGUGUUACUGCGAAGGGGGGACGGAGAAGGCUAUGUUGGCCGGGCGACGGUUGUCCCGGUUUAAGCGUGUAGGUGUGUGUUCCAGGUAAAUCCGGUUCACUUUAACACUGAGGCGUGACGACGAGGCACUACGGUGCUGAAGCAACAAAUGCCCUGCUUCCAGGAAAAGCCUCUAAGCAUCAGGUAACAUCAAAUCGUACCCCAAACCGACACAGGUGGUCAGGUAGAGAAUACCAAGGCGCUUGAGAGAACUCGGGUGAAGGAACUAGGCAAAAUGGUGCCGUAACUUCGGGAGAAGGCACGCUGACACGUAGGUGAAGUGAUUUACUCAUGGAGCUGAAGUCAGUCGAAGAUACCAGCUGGCUGCAACUGUUUAUUAAAAACACAGCACUGUGCAAACACGAAAGUGGACGUAUACGGUGUGACGCCUGCCCGGUGCCGGAAGGUUAAUUGAUGGGGUCAGCGCAAGCGAAGCUCCUGAUCGAAGCCCCGGUAAACGGCGGCCGUAACUAUAACGGUCCUAAGGUAGCGAAAUUCCUUGUCGGGUAAGUUCCGACCUGCACGAAUGGCGUAAUGAUGGCCAGGCUGUCUCCACCCGAGACUCAGUGAAAUUGAACUCGCUGUGAAGAUGCAGUGUACCCGCGGCAAGACGGAAAGACCCCGUGAACCUUUACUAUAGCUUGACACUGAACAUUGAGCCUUGAUGUGUAGGAUAGGUGGGAGGCUUUGAAGUGUGGACGCCAGUCUGC